rnacentral:lncRNA from 1 species
CGUGUGCAGGUUGAAGUCGCUCUCUUCAUUGUAUUCAUUAUUUUUUAACGAUGCUCGUUUUAUUUAUUGUUAUUGAUUGAAUGAUCGUGGAUAAUUGAGAGACGAAGUCUAUUGUAGAAGUAAAAGCAAAAGCAAAAUGGAUAUAAAAAUCCUGUAUAUGAUGGAACACAAAGAAAUAAAAAAAUGAGAACUGAAAAAGUAAGGUAUUUUCCACUACGCAGUGGUAUUCCCUCGAGUUUUUUUGUCUAUUGGUUUUUUAAUUUUUUUUAUUUCCAAUGUCGAUUUUUUAUUAGUUCCGAAUUCAACGAACUGUGCACGAAGAUUUAAAACUAUCAGACAUUUUGAUUAAUUAACAAAACUGGGCCUACGAGCUUUCCUAGCUACACAUCUUUUUUUGAAUGCCAAACAAAAUUUGCCAGUUUUCCUCUCAAUGACGUAUUAAAAAAAAGUAUCUAGUUUUUUUAUCAUUUUAUUCAAAUGAAUGUAACUUUGUUCCAUACAGAAUCAGAGAAUUUCGUUUCCCAAUCAUAUUUGAAUGGGCAAUAUCAACUUGCUUUUUACAAAGCAUUUUCGUGAACAACAAAGUUUUGUGAAGUUUUCAGAAGUUGAGACAUAAAAACCAAUCUAUUUCUGGUGGCAACAUUCACAUGCGUUUCUCCAUUUUCUUAAAAUUAUAAUUCCUAUCACCAAGGCCCAAAUUUUAGUGUUGAUUAAAACCACAACUGGAUCAAAGUCAUUUUUUUACAUAUUCAAAAACCUCAUUUACCAAACAUGGUAUUUCCUUCAUUUCAAACUUUGAACAGUCUGCUCUUUCACGUAAUCCUAUACUUAGCCACUUCUGGAAGUAAUUCAUAUUCUAGUCUCAUUGUCAAACUCCACUAUUAUGAGGCAAGCAGCGAAAACAUGUUUGAAAAGGGUUCGUCACUGUUGUGACAGAUCAGCGGAGUUGCCUUCAAGAAACUGGUAAAAGAGUCAUGAUCAAGAUAAGCCCUCAUGAAUUCAAUGAUCACGAGCGAACGCCCCUGACUUGCAUCGUUUCAUCUUUGAGGGGUGUAAAUCCAGAUGCAGUUGAAAAGAUAAUAUCUCAAUUUUUCUUGAAACUCGCCUGCAAAAUACAACGAGCAUAUUUCAUGAUCCAGAUAUAUUUAAAAAAUACGAAGUUUUUUUUACAAGAGAUUUGAGCAUGGCAAAGGGGGCUGAAACUUAUUUUUUAUUCUGAUCGUUUGUUUUUAGCUCAGAAGAGAAAGAAAAACGAUUGAAAUACUUCAUGAUUUUCCAUCAUUCUCGUUUCCUUUAGUCGUCUCUGGCCUUUGAAGCACGCUUUUCGAUAAAGUCUCAAUAUAACGGAUUUCCUGGUACGUCAACAUCCCAACACGAUUUCUGAUGAACGUUGCUUCGUUGUUGCGUGAACAACAACGGUGAGCUCCAUGGACUCCCCCCGAUUACUCUCACUUGUCAUUUCUUCAUGUACAUCAACGACGCAAAACCACGCUCAUAUAGACAAAAGCUCACAGUCAAUCGAGCAGUAUCGAGCUUACAAUCUCUUUUCAUGUAUUGAUCCGGAUACAUUUUGCGCGUUCAACAUCGAUCUGUGUGUGCAAAAAGUUAGUUCAAGAGACAAAAAAGCAUCCUGCUCCGACGCGAAGCCUCUUGGGGAUCAGUGACACAAGCCGAUCGAUAAUACCAUGAAGAAAAGCCAGUGACUUCAAUGAUCUCGUUAGUCUGGUGGCCCGUGAUUACUCUUUUAUAGUUUUGUUCCUCCUUGUAAUCACAAACGCUCGUGAAAGUUUUUAAAAGCAGUAAAGCAGCGUUAUUUUUCAAUGUUGAAUCACGUGUGGACUUUAGAUAAGUAUAGACGCAGCUUUGGUGUCAUUUUUACUCGGGGAUCAGUCUCAGCGGAGAAUAAGAGUCGCUCCACACAAGAAACAGGGGGAAAAAUCUUUAGAAAGAUUUUUUACUCCGAGAUUAUUUUACGGAUAUGACUUGCUGUGCCAUUCUUUGAGCAUCGACUUGUCGCGUUUUUUCUUGAACUAAUUCAGUUAAUUAAUGAAAACUUUUCUGUGUGCAGCCUCAUUUCGCCAUAAUUAGAUUGCUGGUAUAAAUGUAGAGAGGAAUUAAAUUAUAAACAUCUCGUUAACACUGUUAACCUUUCACAUACCCGACGCGGAUCAUUUAAUUUGGACUCGAUGAGUUUCCUAGUUCAAUUAACAUUAUCGAAAAAAUCCCUGAAAAAUUCACUCCACUGAAACGUCAAGGAACUCACAAAAAAUAAACAAAAUCGGCGAAAUUUUAUUAGAGACAGCAUUUCUGAUAAUGAAAAAUAGGAAUUUCCCAAAUUCCUGAUUCGCGUGCCGAAAACAAUCAGCAAAUUGGGGAAGAGAGUGGAAAUAUUUCCUGGAAUGCAAAAGGAAUAGUGUAAGAGAAAAAUAAUUGAAAUACAGAAAGAAAUUGAUAA